UGAAUACGAGACGCUAAGGCGUCGAAGUAGUGUAUGUCAUACUUCCAAGAAAAGCUUGCACUGUCAUAGAUAAAAACGCCUGUACCAUAACCGACACAGGUGGGUAGGUAGAGUAUACUAAGGGGCGCGAGAUAACUCUCUCUAAGGAACUCGGCAAAAUAACUCCGUAACUUCGGGAGAAGGAGUGCCUUAUUCGUAAGGUUGCAAUAACAAGAUCCAAGCAACUGUUUAUCAAAAACACAGGUCUCCGCUAAGUCGUAAGACGAUGUAUGGGGGGCUGACGCCUGCCCAGUGCCAGAAGGUUAAAGAAGUUGGUUAGCAAUUGCGAAGCUGAUAACUGAAGCCCUGGUGAACGGCGGCCGUAACUAUAACGGUCCUAAGGUAGCGAAAUUCCUUGUCGGGUAAGUUCCGACCCGCACGAAAGGCGUAAUGAUUUGGAUACUGUCUCGGAGAGGGGCUCGGUGAAAUAGACUUGUCUGUGAAGAUGCGGACUACCUGCACCAGGACAGAAAGACCCUAUGAAGCUUUACUGUAACUUGAAAUUGAAAUUGGACUUUAUUCGCGCAGUAUAGGUGGGAGGCGUUGAUUAUAAUCUUGUGGGAUUAUUGGAGCCAUCAGUGAGAUACCACUCUUGUAAUGUUAGAUUUCUAACUUUGAAUCAUUAUCUGGUCAAAGAACAGUUUCAGGCGGGCAGUUUGACUGGGGCGGUCGCCUCCUAAACGGUAACGGAGGCGUACAAAGGUUUCCUCUGAACGGUUAGAAAUCGUAUCUAGAGUGUAAAGGCAUAAGGAAGCUUGACUGUGAGACCUACAAGUCGAGCAGGGACGAAAGUCGGUCUUAGUGAUCUGACGGUACUGAGUGGAAAGGCCGUCACUCAACGGAUAAAAGUUACUCUAAGGAUAACAGGCUGAUCUCCCCCAAGAGUUCACAUCGACGGGGAGGUUUGGCACCUCGAUGUCGGCUCAUAGCAUCCUGGGGCGGUAGUACGUCCCAAGGGUUGGGCUGUUCGCCCAUGAAAGCGGUACGCGAGCUGGGUUCAGAACGUCGUGAGACAGUUCGGUCCAUAUCCGGUGUAGGCGUUAGAAUAUUGAGAGGAGCCUUCUUUAGUACGAGAGGACCGAGAAGGACAUACCUCUGGUGUACCAGUUAUCGUGCCAACGGUAAACGCUGGGUAGCUAUGUAUGGAGUGGAUAACCGCUGAAAGCAUCUAAGUGGGAAGCCCACCUCAAGAUAAGUAUUCC
rnacentral:rRNA from 1 species